rnacentral:rRNA from 1 species
AGUGAACGCUGGCGGCAGGCCUAACACAUGCAAGUCGAGCGGCAGCGGGUCCCCGCGAGGGGAUGCCGGCGAGCGGCGGACGGGUGAGGAACACAUCGGAAUCUGCCUGGUUGUGGGGGAUAACGUAGGGAAACUUACGCUAAUACCGCAUGCGACCCUGAGUCGACGGACUUGGGGUGAAAGUGAGGGACCUUCGGGCCUCACGCGACCAGAUGAGCCGAUGUCGG